AGGAGAAAGAGAGAGAGAGAGUGAGAGGAAGAGAUCUCGUAUACCAUUAGUCCAUAGGAUUAUGUAACUACUUGUAGCGCUCGCACCACACGGGAGAGAUCAACUGCAGACAUGCGCGUAUGUAUAAUAUGCAUGCAUAUACGAAUAAAGAGCCGUAAAUGCGGAAAAUCCCCCGGUUGUACAAUAUCGAUAACUCCGCAACUGGAACGAUCAAUGUCACGUCAAUGUUCUAUGGCUUGAGGGUAGAAGGACGAACGUAUCGUAUAUACCGGAAUAUACUGCUUGACGUCAUAUUACGUUGUAUUCACGUUGUCGAGAAUCGCUCGUUUUGUUUCAACAAUAGAAGCGAUCGGAGCAGAGAUGUUGAUUGAGCUAUUAAAAAACAAGAAACAUUAAUAAUUUACGAGUCGCGUAUGAAUAAUUGAAAACGUGAAACUUUGCAUUUUGGGCGUUAUAUUUAAUUUAUAAUCUCGGAGAUUUCACAUUGUUCCGCGAGUCAAUAUGAUGAAACAACUUUUGCUCUGGCCGUUAAAUGUUAUCUCGAUAACAUUUUCGCAGCGGCGCAGAAAUUAUUAGCCGUGAGUGACACAGUUUCGAAGUUAUAAGUAACAAUACGUUGAUAGCAGAUAAAUAUGGCUUGGAAAGUUCUACGGUCUCUUCGCUCUCUUAUUUCUCUUUCUAGCUCCGCUAGCUAGCCGCAGAAGGACAUCGGUUAUUUUAGCUCUCCGCAAUACACGGGGACCGAUGUGUGCAGUAUAACGCAAAUGCAUCCUAUGCAUUACUCGAGGUAUCGCCGCGCCGUUUCACUUUUACGGAUACAAAACGGUCGAGUUGGAUACGUCCCAAUAAAGAUUCCGAAAAAAGCGGAGGAUGUGAAAAACAACUGUUUUCGAGGACUGUCGUGAAACGAGAUAUUCGAGAUGUGUACACAUGUAUACGUACUAAACGAUCGGCCAAGAAUAGAGGAAAUCGCAAAAGAAGCGCAAGAAGCCGGAAUGCUGCUUGGACAAAACGUGAAUUAAAAAUGUUUCAGUUCAUGCAACGCUCGUUCCGUGACAAACGCUCGCGGGUCAGGCUGGUAUGUAAGCUGGACGAUAAAGACGGAUAACGGUGAUUUUUUUACACGAGAUAAUCCCGCACGGAAGGAAAUACUGGGCGGCGGCUUUGUACCUCGCAACGCGCGAAUAAUUAAUUCGCGAAUAUAUAGAGAUCGGCCGCUCGUCUUCACCCAGCGCAUGGAAGCAGAAGACCGGGCGAGACGAUUUCUUUGGAGCGAGUGCGAGAAAGCGCGACGAAAAGUCGAGCGCCCCGUCGAAACUCCUGCGCAACCACUGUGUUGUCGGUGUUGCUGCGUGCUGCGCAUAAAUACGUGUAUAACGUGUACAAGACUUUUGUAUUCGCAAAAAAAUCCGGAUGCAUACUCGCAUGCACGCACGUGGUGUUAAUUAGAAACUGCGAGGGACACGCGGGAUUGCACGCGGGCUUGAAGAAUAAAUAUUCCGCACAACAUGAGAAAUGCCAAAUGUUCACCAUGCGUCUGGCGGCAAUUUAACGGAAAUAAACGCGAAGUGCAUACAUCCGCAUCGCGAGCGAAAGAGUGCAUCUGCUUCGCGCACAUUUCAUCCGGCGAGUAAUAAAUGAAAGUAGGUAUCGCGACACGAGAAUAAAGAGUUGAAUGACGUAUCGAUGAUAGUCUUAUGUAUAAAUUGCAAAUAUAAUUAAAUAUAUAUAUAUAUAGUUUGAUUGUUUUAAAAUGCGAGAGACGUUCGAAGCAAUUAGGUAUCGUGAUUUUAAUGUAAUUACGAUUAAUAAAUAUGUAACGUACGUAAUAUUAAA